GACGAACGCUGGCGGCGUGCUUAACACAUGCAAGUCGAACGGAAAGGCCCUGCUUUUGUGGGGUGCUCGAGUGGCGAACGGGUGAGUAACACGUGAGUAACCUGCCCUUGACUUUGGGAUAACUUCAGGAAACUGGGGCUAAUACCGGAUAGGAGCUCCUGCUGCAUGGUGGGGGUUGGAAAGUUUCGGCGGUUGGGGAUGGACUCGCGGCUUAUCAGCUUGUUGGUGGGGUAGUGGCUUACCAAGGCUUUGACGGGUAGCCGGCCUGAGAGGGGGACCGGCCACAUUGGUACUGAGAGACGGCCCAGACGCCUACCGGAGGCAGCGGUGGGGAGUAUUGCACAGUGGGCGGGAGCCUGAUACGACGACGCCGCGUGCGUGAUAACGUCCUUCGGGUUGUAAACCGCUUUCGCCUGUGACGAGGCGUGAGUGACGGUAAUGGGUAAAGAAGCACCGGCUAACUACGUG
rnacentral:rRNA from 1 species